rnacentral:rRNA from 1 species
GAUGAACGCUGGCGGCGUGCCUAACACAUGCAAGUCGAACGGAGUCCAGCCUUUAAGACCUUCGGGUCAAAGAGGGGAAGACUGAGUGGCCGACGGGUGAGUAACACGUGGGCAACCUGGCUCAUAGAGGGGGAUAACAGAGAGAAAUUUCUGCUAAUACCGCAUAAGCACACACUGCCGCAUGGCAGAGGGUGAAAAGAGAAUCGCUAUGAGAUGGACCCGCGUCUGAUUAGCCAGUUGGCAGGGUAAGAGCCUACCAAAGCGACGAUCAGUAGCCGAUCUGAGAGGGUAGACGGCCACAUUGGGACUGAGACACGGCCCCAACACCUACGAGAGGCAGCAGAGGGGGAUAUUGCACAAUGGGGGGAACCCUGAUGAAGCGACGCCGCGUGAGUGAAGAAGUAUUUCGGUAUGUAAAGCUCUAUCAGCAGGGAAGAUAAUGACAGUACCUGAAUAAGAAGCCCCGGCUAACUACGUG